rnacentral:lncRNA from 1 species
CGGGACGAGCUCCCCUUUUAAUUCCUUGACCAUGGAGAAUCUCUAGUAUUUUUCAUCUUCUGAAGCACGCUAUGGAGAUUUUAUCUUUUCCCAGGAGACAUCCAAAUUUAAUUUGAGGAGACAAGGAAUUUUGCCAUCAAUGUAUCCUUGUUGCUUUCUGGUGCGGCCAUAUAUAUUCUUGACUUUAUACGAAUUACUGCAUCUUGUGGGGCAGAUAAUCUUUCAUCUGGG